ensembl:lncRNA
UGUUAAACGAAAGUUUGAUCUAGGCAUGAGAAAAGAGAGGAAAUAACAAUGUGAUUAAGAUGUCGUUGGUUGUGGUCUUCUUCUCCCUUCACGUCUUACUGGCUUCUGGAUUGAAAGAGCUCAGAGUGAGGCCUGGACAAGCUGCCACUCUUCAGUGUUGGGGUCCCAGAGAUGCACACAUCACCCUGCUGGAGUGGAGCAGACCUGAGCUCAUCUCACAGGGUUAUGUGUUCUUCUUCCAAGACCAGCGCUCAUACGAGAACUACCAGCACGAGUCCUUUAAACGCCGAGUGCAGCUGAGAGACUCAUCCAUGAUGGAUGGAGAUGUUACUGUGAUUGUGAGGAACGUCAGGGUCAGUGAUACGGGAAUAUACAAGUGUGAGAUUACAACCAGCAGCACCAGAAAUGACGAGAGAGUCGUCAGCGAGUUCAAGCACUCCAUCAACCUCACAGUCACAGACACAGGUUUCACAGAAGGAGAGUCCAAAGAAAGAGGACACAAGGAUGGAGGAGACAAGAAUCUAUCUUUUUUUAAUUUUGUGUUAAUUCUGUCAUGCGGACUCCUUGGUGUUAUGGUUAUUGUUACUGUAGCUGUAAAUAUCUACAGGAAAAAAAGUUUCUAAAGCUAUGUGUAUCAUCAUAGUAUCAUCUGUAUGUAGCAUUUCUCUUCUCUGAUCCUGUAAUCACAGUUACAACUUACAACAAUGUCAUGUUAGCAAGCAGACGAUACUAACAAAGUUGCUGUGGAUAUCAGAGUCACAAUAUUUUAUUAACACCUAAGAAAAUUAUAUUAGCACUAACCUCACAAAUGUGCUUCUGGAAGAAUGGUCAAAAUUCCCAACACACUCGUAAACCCUGAUAUGAAUAUCUAUCUAUCUAUCUAUCUAGCGUGGGAUAGACCCGCUCGCCUCGCAAGCAAUCGAGCUGUUAUUACCGUUGACAAAGCGCAGGUACACAGCUGCCAUAACCCCCACUGUACACUGACCUCAUUUACUGAGGUUAUAUUUACCGGGUUUUUAUUUCCUGAUGUUCGUAUGUGUCAUACCUGUUUCAGUCGCCAAAUCUGAAUUAUAACUAACAUUAAAAACAUGUUUAAGGAGGAGAGAGAGCAAAUAAAUCCGAUUAACAGCUGAUCUUUGGGUUUUUGUUCAGUAAUCAGCGUGACCUGUGUAUAAACGCAUAAAAGAGAAAACGUUGGUGUUUCCGUCAUGUAGUAACUGCUGGCUUUAACUGUACAAAGGUUGUUCGACACUAUGAAACACAUACAGACUUAAUGAUGUUCGGCUAAUAUUUUAAUUGUGAAUAUUAAUCAUGAGGGUAAACGACCCUGUACACCACGGAGCGAGGUCAGCAUAUCCACGAUAUCUUCAGCUCUCUGAGUUAACACACAGUUUCACAGCUGACUAAUCUAACAGUCAUCUACGAAUAAUUCAUGGGUCAUAUCUAUAUGAUUUUACUGAAAACCAUCCUUAUUACUACCAACUAUUCCAGAGACGUGAAAGUCUACAGUAUAAAGAAAAGAAAAGAACUGUCUGAGUGGUUAACUGAAGUUAACUUGGAUAAAUUAUAGUUAAGGAGUAUCACAGAUAACGCCCAUGUGAGCUUUGUGACUGUUCACCACUGCACUGAAAUCAGUAGGCUAUUACUGAAAUACACGUGCUAUAUCAUAAACUACGAUAUAAAUAGGGAGGUCCUAUUAACAUGUUUAGUUUUAAAGGACACCUUCCUGCCUUUAGUCUCAUUCAUGAGCAGUAUUAGUUUUCUUCUAACAUCCAGAAGUCUGCACGAUGUGUUUCAUAGUUUGUAACAAGCCUUUGACAGUUAAACAUAACAUGACUGGGGAAAAAAAAAAAUCACACAAAUUAUAUGUUAACCUCAUUUAUUUUUAGUUAAGUAAAAUCUAAAAAUUCUAACAGAUAGCUGGUGCUUAGAAUACAGUUGAAUAACUACUAAAAAACAGAUGAUGUAAUAUUUCUGUCCAGGUUGCAGUCUUCAUGAUGAACAUGCUGUUGCAAACUCUGCUCCUCUCGGUGGAAAUGCGCCUUCUCUUUCCUCUUUGUAUAAAAACAUUUUAAAAGUCAGUUUAAUCUUAAAAUUCACUGUUAAAUCCAAAACACACCAGAUAAAGAAAAGCGAAUAGUUCAGUCUAACACAUGUGCCAGUGAACCAUUAAACUUCAGUAAAACUCUGCAGUUAUGAAACGUAACUUUAACCUCAGCCAAACCGAUUUGCUCAGUUGUAAAUAAAACAGCGAAGUAAACGUGACCCGACAGACAAAACCUGAGUGAAUUAAGUCCAGCGUUUAACCACUGAGAGCUAAAACUCAGGUGAGGUUUCAAAGCUGUGUGGCGGUGAUUGGACAUCAGCCGCUGAUAAAGUGGGUUCGCCUAUAAAGUGCUCUGUUGGGAAACCAGCUCCAGCAGCUCUGCGCUCGGGGGAAAAAAAAAUACUUAUCUUGUGCAGAAAAAUGCGCCGACAUUGCGUUAUAUCGAGCAAAGUUAAACUGUGACUAUCACCAGGUAACGUGGGCGUGUUUCUUGAAUUAGCAGCAGGUAUUAAACAGCUGACAGGUGAGGAAGAGGACGCAUGCAGGUAAACUGAGGGCCUGUUGAGCUGAUCGCUGGUGUCCUGAGAAACAUGUCAGCUCGUUCUUUAUGUUACAGAAGCACAGACACACAAGACCAGGCGGAAAGAGACGAUCGUUCGGUGAAAAUGAGAAUCUGCAAAUGCAACAUGUGGAACACGGAGAGUGGAAUAUGUAAACAAACCGGUUAACGUAACCCCCCCCCCCAAAAAAAACCAAACAGUUAAGCUGGAACACCGGGGCUGUGGAGAAGGGUCUGGCUGCAGCCAUUGUGGAGCUCCACAGUAACCGGAAACACGUGACCUCCACAGUAGCCGGAAACACGUGACCUCCACAGUAGGCAGAAAUACGUUCCUGCGUGGAUCAUCGACUGUGGAAAUCUUGCAAGUGGAUUGUAAAGAUGCUCAUAUCAAUUUGGAGUUCUGCCUCCAAGCCAGAAUUGCAGGAAUGCACAACAUGUUGCAGAAGACUCUUUCACUGCCCUCUGUGCCCCACUUUCAGCCCUACUGUCAAGGCAAAGAUUGAGGAGCAUAUAAAUGGACACAUUAAAAAUGCUUUGCCUUUCAAAGACAAAAUGAUAUACCGGUGCACUUUCACUGCCCUGUCUGUAACAUGACAGUAAUACAGCGUGGGGAUAUGGCAAGGCAAUUUUUCUCAUGUCAUCAUUCAGGACUGCUCCCCACUGAACUCUCCGAGGAGCCCCAUCUCCCUCUCGAUGUCUUGUCUCCAGUAUCUAAACCAUUUUCUGAAUCUUUGGUAGAACAUUCAUGUGCUCUACCCUCUGUGCUAAAUGAAACUGUGGCUUGUGGAAAGUCCUUGAAAAUGAAACCCCCUCACUGUGGUCUUAGUCUUCUUAAAAAAAACUUCAAGGCUCACAUGAUGAGGAGGCAUUCAAACAGAUCAAUAGAUGUUUGCCUGGCUUGUCAUCUGCAGUGUUUUUGUGUAGAGGGACUUCUUCCUCUUUGUUUUUCAGUUUGCAGAGGACAUGGAGCUCUUUUUAAAAGCUUGUGCUGAUGAGCAGGGACUAUGGGUCAAUGCGAUGUUUGACAUUUAAUGGACAGAUGAAGGCACUGGCUGUUUGUUUGUGUUUUUUAUGUGUUGUUGUUUGUUUUUCAGUGUACAGAAUUCCAGUUAAACGUGUUAUUAAAUAUCCACUUGUUUCCAUGUCCAUACUUAUAGUAAAAAAAUUAAGUGUAAAUGCAACAGCAUUGUUUAUACUUGUAACUUCAGAGUAAAAAGCUUAUUGUUGAUAUUAACAUUAAUAUAUUACCCUGUAAUCAAUAAUAUUUUUAUACAUUUUACGCAUCAACCCUCUGGGCUCUAUCCUGGCCAUUUGUGGCCACUUGACUUCUCUUUUUGUUUUGUUUUUUUGACGACUACACUGCAGUGGACCAAAAGAAUGACAUAGGUUUGAUCUUAAGGAUCUAAUACUUGUGUGUGUUUGUGCAUGACAUUGCAAUGCAAAUAUGUAUUUGCAAGAUAGACUGAAAUAAAUAAUGACGCAU